CCAACAGUCCUUCUCAGGACUACAAUUCGAUUUGAAAAAGAAUUU
rfam:Anopheles minimus strain MINIMTS1 unplaced genomic scaffold supercont1.176, whole genome shotgun sequence.